GCCCGGGUGGCGGAAUAGGCAGACGCACGGGACUUAAAAUCCCGAGUCCUUACGGACGUGGGGGUUCGAUUCCCCCCCCGGGCACCA
rnacentral:tRNA from 1 species